CCCAGACUCCUACGGGAGGCAGCAGUGGGGAAUAUUGCACAAUGGGGGAAACCCUGAUGCAGCAACGCCGUGUGAGUGAAGAAGCGUUUCGGCGCGUAAAGCUCUGUCAGCGGGGAAGAAAGAAGACGGUACCCGACCAAGAAGCCCCGGCUAACUACGUGCCAGCAGCCGCGGUAAUACGUAGGGGGCAAGCGUUAUCCGGAUUUACUGGGUGUAAAGGGAGCGUAGACGGCAAUGCAAGCCAGAUGUGAAAGCCCGGGGCUCAACCCCGGGACUGCAUUUGGAACUGUGUAGCUGGAGUGUCGGAGAGGCAGGCGGAAUUCCUAGUGUAGCGGUGAAAUGCGUAGAUAUUAGGAGGAACACCAGUGGCGAAGGCGGCCUGCUGGACGAUGACUGACGUUGAGGCUCGAAAGCGUGGGGAGCAAACAGGAUUAGAUACCCGAGUAG
rnacentral:rRNA from 1 species